rnacentral:rRNA from 1 species
GGUUUCUCCGUAAGGAGUAAGGUUUGAAUCAGUGGCUACGAGAGACGAACGGCUGGCGGCAGGCCUAAAAACAUGCAAAGUCGAAACGGGAUUCCCUUUCGGGGAUUUAGUGGCGGACGGGUGAGUAACACGUGGGAACGUGCCUUUUGGUUCGGAACAACUCAGGGAAACUUGAGCUAAUACCGAAUGUGCCCUUCGGGGGAAAGAUUUAUCGCCAUUAGAGCGGCCCGCGUCUGAUUAGCUUGUUGGUGAGGUAAAGGCUCACCAAGGCGACGAUCAGUAGCUGGUCUGAGAGGAUGAUCAGCCACACUGGGACUGAGACACGGCCCAGACUCCUACGGGAGGCAGCAGUUAGGAAUCUUGCGCAAUGGGGGAAACCCUGACGCAGCCAUGCCGCGUGAAUGAUGAAGGUCUUAGGAUUGUAAAAUUCUUUCAGCGGGGACGAUAAUGACGGUACCCGCAGAAGAAGCCCCGGCUAACUUCGUG